CUGCUGCAGAAUCAAGUGCCGUUCUCCAUUGCUUGUUUGUGUUCGGUGUUCUUGAAAUUGAAGAUGAAGGCCCUUUGUGCAAUUCAAUCUUCAGAGUUAUCUUCUAUUUUUAGAGGACCUUCUCAAUUACAAGGAGUCGACCUACUUUUCCUGAAAAGCUCUCUUUUGCCGAGCAAAGUUUGCUGAGUCUGGGGUAGAUGGAUCGUUCAGCUUAAGCGUAGUGUCUCCACCUUGUAGCAGCUGAAAAGGAGAAGCCAAGGUGUCUUAACUUUAUUCUUGAAGAAACAAGGUCUGAGCAAGGCCUUUGCUGCAAGAACCAUCAAUACAUCAGAUCUUUUUAUCGACCAUCUUGUCUCAAGGCUCCAUUCAGUUCAUAA